AAGAGUUUAGGUUAACAAAUAGACCUAAGGCCUUCAAAGCCUUAAGCAGGAGUGAAAAUCUCCUAACCCUUG
rnacentral:tRNA from 1 species